AUUGAACGCUGGCGGCAUGCCUUACACAUGCAAGUCGAACGGUAACAGGUCUUCGGAUGCUGACGAGUGGCGAACGGGUGAGUAAUACAUCGGAACGUGCCUAGUAGUGGGGGAUAACUACUCGAAAGAGUGGCUAAUACCGCAUGAGAUCUACGGAUGAAAGCAGGGGAUCGCAAGACCUCGUGCUACUAGAGCGGCCGAUGGCAGAUUAGGUAGUUGGUGGGAUAAAAGCUUACCAAGCCGACGAUCUGUAGCUGGCCUGAGAGGACGAUCAGCCACACUGGGACUGAGACACGGCCCAGACUCCUACGGGAGGCAGCAGUGGGGAAUUUUGGACAAUGGGCGCAAGCCUGAUCCAGCAAUGCCGCGUGCAGGAUGAAGGCCUUCGGGUUGUAAACUGCUUUUGUACGGAACGAAAAGCCCUGGGUUAAUACCCUGGGGUCAUGACGGUACCGUAAGAAUAAGCACCGGCUAACUACGUGCCAGCAGCCGCCGUAACAC
rnacentral:rRNA from 1 species